rnacentral:rRNA from 1 species
UACGUAGGGUGCAAGCGUUAAUCGGAAUUACUGGGCGUAAAGCGUGCGCAGGCGGUUCGCUAAGACAGAUGUGAAAUCCCCGGGCUUAACCUGGGAACUGCAUUUGAGACUGGCGGGCUAGAGUAUGGCAGAGGGGGGUAGAAUUCCACGUGUAGCAGUGAAAUGCGUAGAGAUGUGGAGGAAUACCGAUGGCGAAGGCAGCCCCCUGGGCCAAUACUGACGCUCAUGCACGAAAGCGUGGGGAGCAAACAGG